ACAGGGCUGAAGUCUUUCAGAAAGUCAGGGUUGUGGUAUAUAAGAUGAGACUGCUGGGUCUUCUCCUGUGCCUGGUGACAUGUCCUCAUGGUGUCCUUUCCCAGGUGCAGCUGCAGGAGUCCGGGCUUGGACUGGUGAUGCCCUCGCAGACUCUGUCUCUCACUUGUACGGUCUCUGGCUCUUCCAUCACUAGUGGUUACUAUUGGAGCUGGAUCCAUCAGAUCCCUGGAAAGAGCCUGGAGUGGAUGGGGUACAUAUAUCCUAGUCGUAGCACUAGCUACAGCCCGUCCCUCCAGAGCCGCAUCUCCAUCUCCAUAGACACAGGCAAGAACCAGUUCUCCCUGCAACUGAACUCUGUCACCGCGGAGGACACAGCCAUCUAUUACUGUGCAAGAGCCACAGUGCUCUGAUGCAACUGUGAGCCCAGAC